rnacentral:rRNA from 1 species
CCUACGGGAGGCAGCAGUGGGGAAUAUUGCGCAAUGGACGCAAGUCUGACCCAGCAACGCCGCGUGAAGGAAGAAGGCUUUCGGGUUGUAAACUUCUUUUAAGGGGGAAGAGCAGAAGACGGUACCCCUUGAAUAAGCUACGGCUAACUACGUGCCAGCAGCCGCGGUAAUACGUAGGGGGCAGGCGUUGUCCGGAUUUACUGGGUGGAAAGGGCGUGCAGCCGGAGAGUCAAGUCAGAUGUGAAAUCCACGGGCUCAACGCGUGAACUGCCUUUGAAACUGGUUCCCUUGAGUGUCGGAGAGGUAAGCGGAAUUCCUGGUGUAGCGGUGAAAUGCGUAGAUAUAAGGAAGAACAUCAGUGGCGAAGGCGGAUAACUGGACGAUAACUGACGGUGAGGCGCGAAAGCGUGGGGAGCAAACAGGAUUAGAUACCCGAGUAGUC